rnacentral:rRNA from 1 species
AGCUCCAAUAGCGUAUAUUAAAGUUGUUGCAGUUAAAAAGCUCGUAGUUGGAUUUGUGCUAGCACCUGUGGACCAAAAUGUUUUGGUUCUACACUGUGUUAGCAUCCUUGGGUGGAACCUGUAGGGCAUUAGUUUGUUCUGCAGAGGAUGCCCAUCUUUUACUGUGAAAAAAUUAGAGUGUUCAAAGCAGGCUUAUGCCGUUGAAUAUAUUAGCAUGGAAUAAUAAGAUAGGACUUGGGUGCUAUUUUGUUGGUUUGCGCACCAAAGUAAUGAUUAAUAGGGACAGUUGGGGGUAUUCGUAUUCCAUUGUCAGAGGUGAAAUUCUUGGAUUUUUGGAAGACGGACUACUGCGAAAGCAUUUACCAAGGAUGUUUUCACUAAUCAAGAACGAAAGUACGCA